rnacentral:rRNA from 1 species
CGUGUAGGCGGCUGAGCAAGUCAGAUGUGAAAUCCCUGGGCUUAACCCAGGAAGUGCGUUUGAAACUGCUUAGCUUGAGUAAGGAAGAGGGAAGUGGAAUUCCUGGUGUAGAGGUGAAAUUCGUAGAUAUCAGGAGGAACACCGGUGGCGAAGGCGACUUCCUGGUCCUAUACUGACGCUGAGACGCGAGAGCGUGGGGAGCAAACA